rnacentral:rRNA from 1 species
UACGUAGGGGGCAAGCGUUGUCCGGAAUCAUUGGGCGUAAAGCGCGCGUAGGCGGUCCGGUAAGUCCGCUCUGAAAGUCCGGGGCUCAACCCCGGGAGGCGGGCGGAUACUGUCGGGCUAGAGUCCGGAAGAGGCGAGUGGAAUUCCUGGUGUAGCGGUGAAAUGCGCAGAUAUCAGGAGGAACACCAAUGGCGAAGGCAGCUCGCUGGGACGGUACUGACGCUGAGGCGCGAAAGCGUGGGGAGCAAACAGG